GUCACAGCCGCGGUAAUUCCAGCUCCAAUAGCGUAUAUUAAAGUUGUUGCAGUUAAAAAGCUCGUAGUUGAACUUUGGGCCUGGGCGGACGGUCUACCUAUGGUAAGCACUGUUGCGGCCGGGUCUUUCCUUCUGGCUAGCCCUCGGGCGAACCAGGACGAUUACUUUGAGGAAAUUAGAGUGUUCAAAGCAGGCCUUUGCUCGGAUAUAUUAGCAUGGAAUAAUAGAAUAGGACGCAUGGUUCUAUUUUGUUGGUUUCUAGGACCAUCGUAAUGAUUAAUAGGGACGGUCGGGGGCAUCAGUAUUCAGUCGUCAGAGGUGAAAUUCUUGGAUUGACUGAAGACUAACUACUGCGAAAGCAUUUGCCAAGGACGUUUUCAUUAAUCAAGAACGAAAGUUAGGGGAUCGAAGAUGAUCAGAUACCGUCGUAGUCUUAACCAUAAACUAUGCCGACUAGGGAUCGGGUGGUGCUACUUUGCCCACUCGGCACCUUACGAGAAAUCAAAGUUUUUGGGUUCUGGGGGGAGUAUGGUCGCAAGGCUGAAACUUAAAGGAAUUGACGGAAGGGCACCACCAGGAGUGGAGCCUGCGGCUUAAUUUGACUCAACACGGGGAAACUCACCAGGUCCAGACGUAAUAAGGAUUGACAAGUUAGAGACUUCUCUUGAUCUUACGGGUGGUGGUGCAUGGCCGUUUUUAGUCCUUGGAGUGAUUUGUCUGCUUAAUUGCGAUAACGGACGAGACCUUAACCUGCUAAAUAGGGCUGCGAGCAUCUGCUCGGGUGCUCUUCUUAGAGGGACUAUGGGUAUCAAAUCCCCAGAAU
rnacentral:rRNA from 1 species